rnacentral:rRNA from 1 species
AUGAACGCUGGCGGCGUGCUUAACACAUGCAAGUCGAACGAAGCACUUUAUUACGAUUUCUUCGGAAUGACGAUUUAGUGACUGAGUGGCGGACGGGUGAGUAACGCGUGGGUAACCUGCCUCAUACAGGGGGAUAACAGUUGGAAACGACUGCUAAUACCGCAUAAGCGCACGGUAUCGCAUGAUACAGUGUGAAAAACUCCGGUGGUAUGAGAUGGACCCGCGUCUGAUUAGUUAGUUGGCGAGGUAACGGCCCACCAAGGCAACGAUCAGUAGCCGACCUGAGAGGGUGACCGGCCACAUUGGGACUGAGACACGGCCCAAACUCCUACGGGAGGCAGCAGUGGGGAAUAUUGCACAAUGGGCGAAAGCCUGAUGCAGCGACGCCGCGUGAACGAAGAAGUAUUUCGGUAUGUAAAGUUCUAUCAGCAGGGAAGAAGAAAUGACGGUACCUGACUAAGAAGCUCCGGCUAAAUACGUGCCAGCAGCCGCGGUAAUACGUAUGGAGCAAGCGUUAUCCGGAUUUACUGGGUGUAAAGGGAGCGUAGGCGGUCUUAUAAGUCUGAUGUGAAAGCCCGGGGCUCAACCCCGGGACUGCAUUGGAAACUGUAGGACUAGAGUGUCGGAGGGGUAAGUGGAAUUCCUAGUGUAGCGGUGAAAUGCGUAGAUAUUAGGAGGAACACCAGUGGCGAAGGCGGCUUACUGGACGAUUACUGACGCUGAGGCUCGAAAGCGUGGGGAGCAAACAGGAUUAGAUACCCUGGUAGUCCACGCAGUAAACGAUGAUAGCUCGUUGUCGGCGAUACACAGUCGGUGACUAAGAGAAAUCGAUAAGCUAUCCACCUGGGGAGUACGUUCGCAAGAAUGAAACUCAAAGGAAUUGACGGGGACCCGCACAAGCGGUGGAGCAUGUGGUUUAAUUCGAAGCAACGCGAAGAACCUUACCAAGUCUUGACAUCCUUCUGACAAAGUAUGUAAUGUACUCUUCCUUCGGGACAGAAGUGACAGGUGGUGCAUGGUUGUCGUCAGCUCGUGUCGUGAGAUGUUGGGUUAAGUCCCGCAACGAGCGCAACCCUUGUCCUUAGUAGCCAGCAUUUAAGGUGGGCACUCUAGGGAGACUGCCAGGGUGAACCUGGAGGAAGGUGGGGAUGACGUCAAAUCAUCAUGCCCCUUAUGACUUGGGCUACACACGUGCUACAAUGGCGUAAACAAAGGGAAGCGAAAUCGCGAGGUGGAGCAAAUCUCAAAAAUAACGUCUCAGUUCGGAUUGUAGUCUGCAACUCGACUACAUGAAGCUGGAAUCGCUAGUAAUCGCGAAUCAGAAUGUCGCGGUGAAUACGUUCCCGGGUCUUGUACACACCGCCCGUCACACCAUGGGAGUUGGGAAUGCCCGAAGUCAGUGACCUAACCGUAAGGAAGGAGCUGCCGAAGGCAGGCUCGAUAACUGGGGUG